GGAGGAUCACAAAUGCACCACUUGGACAGCCAAGAGCCAACAGCUGAAGCUAAGCUAGCAAGCAAGCAGGAAGGAAAGGAUCCGUGUGACGUCGUGGGAGGGGACAGAUGAUAUUCGACCCCAACAUGACCAAGAAGAAUAAGAAGCCUUUCAUGCUGGAAGAAGACAGUAGAGACAGAGUGGGAGAGGACACACCGCAGGUGGAGGCCAAGGAGGUGGAACCUGAUGAGCAAUCCGACGAUCUUGAUGGCUUGAACUUUUACAACCAGAAGAAAAAGAAGCCCAAUAAAGUGUUUGAUAAUGACAUUGAGGAGUGGAUAAAGGUUCUCUCAAUCCAUUAAAAACAGGAGCUGAAAAUGCAAGGAGAGCAGAGCGAGGCAGUAGAAGACGACAACCUGGAAUCUUCAGUUGCCAGCAAAGAAAAAUGAGUCCUAGAAGGUUGAUUUCCAGGAGGAAGGAGAGAUACCGGAGAAGGAUGGCAUUUGACCUUGUACUAUUGAGGAUGAGGGGAAAAAUAAUGAUGGCCUCUCAUUCAGCUCCCAGUCUGGUCCGGCGUGGGUAAGUACAGACAGACACUACGAACAUGACGAGGUAGGCGUACUUACUUCAAUUCAGUUAUGAUUAUUUUAAAUAAUAUUGCAAAGGGCAUUUGGUUAUAUUGAUUCAAGGCACGGCCUCAGGCUGUUGGUUCCUGCAAUUCUAAUUGCACUAGUUUGAGAGAGAGUCUGAUGUUCAUAAUGUGAUGUCAGCUGCUGUGUCUUCAACAUUAUGCGGGACAGCUUUGUAUUCUGGACAUAAAGUACAUUUCUUUGCCAAAUGUUUUGCAGUUUUACUUUACUUGUCACGCCCUGAUUUGUUUCACCUGUCUUUGUGAUUGUCUCCACCCACCUCCAGGUGUCUCCUGUGUUUCCCAUUAGUCCCCGAUGUAUUUAUCCCUGUGUUUCAUGUCUCUCUGUGCCAGUUUGUCUUGUUUUGCCAAGUCAACCAGCAUUUCUCCUAGCUCCUAUUUUUCCC